rnacentral:rRNA from 1 species
GACGAACCACCCAAACGUUAUUCGGAAUUACUGGGCUUAAAGGGUGCGUAGGCUGUGCGGAAAGUUGGGUGUGAAAUCCCUCGGCCCAACCGAGGAACUGCGCCCGAGACUGCUUCUCUUGAGUCCCGGAGAGGAAGAUGGAAUUCCUGGUGUAGCGGUGAAAUGCGCAGAUAUCAGGAGGAACACCGGUGGCGAAGGCGGGUCUCUGGGCCGAUACUGACGCUGAGGAGCGAAAGCGUGGGGAGCGAUCCGG